UACGUAGGCAGCGAGCGUUGUUCGGAGUUACUGGGCGUAAAGCGUGCGUAGGCGGUCUUGUAAGUCUGGUGUGAAAAUCUCCCGGCUCAACUGGGAGGGUGCGCCGGAAAACUGCAAGGCUGGAGUAUGGGAGAGGUAGGCGGAAUUCCUGGUGUAGCGGUGAAUGCGUAGAUAUCUGGAGGAACACCGGUGGCGAAGGCGGCAUCCUGGACCAACACUGACGCUGAGGGAGCGAAAGCCAGGGAGCAAACGGG
rnacentral:rRNA from 1 species